GACGAACGCUGGCGGCGUGCUUAACACAUGCAAGUCGAACGGAAAGGCCUCUUUCGGGGGGUACUCGAGUGGCGAACGGGUGAGUAACACGUGAGUAACCUGCCCUUGACUUUGGGAUAACUUCAGGAAACUGGGGCUAAUACCGGAUAGGAGCUCCUGCUGCAUGGUGGGGGUUGGAAAGUUUCGGCGGUUGGGGAUGGACUCGCGGCUUAUCAGCUUGUUGGUGGGGUAGUGGCUUACCAAGGCUUUGACGGGUAGCCGGCCUGAGAGGGUGACCGGCCACAUUGGGACUGAGAUACGGCCCAGACUCCUACGGGAGGCAGAAGUGGGGAAUAUUGCACAAUGGGUGGAAGCCGGAUGCAGCAACGCCGUGUGCGGGAUGACGGCCUUCGGGUUGUAAACCGCUUUCGCUCAUGACGAAGCUUUGUGUGACGGUAGUGGGUAAAGAAGCACCGGCUAACUACGUG
rnacentral:rRNA from 1 species